ACUAACUUUUAAAGACCGCAACGCGACGCGUAGAUGCAUUUCUUAAUUUGUAUUGAAAUGACAGAUUUGCAUGAAGUCUCACUCAAUUGUUCUGUCAAUUUAGUAAAAUU